UUUACCCUGCGGUGUUCGCUAACAUACCAAAAAGAGCCUGAACUGACAUUCGCUAAUGUAAAGGGGCGAGUACAAGGUGGUUGUGCAGGCCCGUCUUCGAGCGGGAAGCCUUAAAAUCUUGCAAGCCUUAUUUUUAGGAUUCUGAGUUUAGACCAUUAAGUAUCUACGGCACCAGCAGGGCCCCA
rnacentral:other from 1 species